GUGGAUUAGAUACCCUGGUAGUCCACGCCGUAAACGAUGAGAACUAGGUGUCGUGGGUGUUGACCCCCGCGGUGCCGCAGCUAACGCAUUAAGUUCUCCGCCUGGGAAGUACGGCCGCAAGGUUAAAACUCAAAGGAAUUGACGGGGGCCCGCACAAGCGGUGGAGCAUGUGGUUCAAUUCGACGCAACGCGCAGAACCUUACCCAGAUUUGACAUCCUGGAAAGCUGGCCCAAAAGUCGGCGUGCCCGCAAGGGAAUCCAGAGACAGGUGCUGCAUGGUCGUCGACAACU
rnacentral:rRNA from 1 species